CAAACCUCCUUGUCAAAGCCUAAUCUCGUCAGAUCUCAGAAGUUAAAUAGGGCUGGCCCUGGGUAGUACUUGGAUGGGUGACCGCUGGGAAUAUCAGAUGAAAAAAUUGC
rnacentral:rRNA from 1 species